rnacentral:rRNA from 1 species
AUUGAACGCUGGCGGCAGGCCUAACACAUGCAAGUCGAGCGAGCGGCGGACGGGUGAGUAAUGUCUGGGAAAAUGCCUGAUGGAGGGGGAUAACUACCGGAAACGGUAGCUAAUACCGCAUACCAUCAGAUCUGACACGAUGGGAGUAGCUGGUUGGUGGGUUAACGGCUCAACUAGGCGACGAUCCCUAGCUGGUCUGAGAGGAUGACAAGCGAAACGGGAACUGAGACACGGUCCAGACUCCUACGGGAGGCAGCAGUGGGGAAUAUUGCACAAUGGGCGCAAGCCGGAUGCAGCCAUGCCGCGUGUGUGAAGAAGGCCUUCGGGUUGUAAAGCACUUUCAGCGGGGAGGCGUUACCCGCAGAAGAAGCACCGGCUAACUCCGUGCCAGCAGCCGCGGUAAUAC